GCAGCCGCCACGGUAAUACGGAGGGUGCAAGCGUUAUCCGGAUUUAUUGGGUUUAAAGGGUCCGUAGGCGGAUCUGUAAGUCAGUGGUGAAAUCUCACAGCUUAACUGUGAAACUGCCAUUGAUACUGCAGGUCUUGAGUAAAUUUGAAGUGGCUGGAAUAAGUAGUGUAGCGGUGAAAUGCAUAGAUAUUACUUAGAACACCAAUUGCGAAGGCAGGUCACUAAGAUUUAACUGACGCUGAUGGACGAAAGCGUGGGGAGCGAACAGGAUUAGAUACCCCCGUAGUCCCUGUCUCUUAUAC
rnacentral:rRNA from 1 species